ensembl:lncRNA
GGGGGGUCACCAUGGAGACGGGGGGUGCUGUCACUGCUGCGUUGUGUUCAGACUGUUGUUAAACUCAGGAUAACUCCAGUAUUUAUUAGACCUUGUGUUUUCGUAUUCUUUGGAUACAGACUGAUGGGUGACUGACCCUUCGAAGAGGUCCUUACAGAAGGACGUUUGGGUUAUUGGUAGGAACAAUAUCACCCGUUUGCAGCUAUAAAUACAUUGUUCAUAGUGUUUGACAUCCUGACAGAAGUUGUCCAGAAGUUAUAUUUUCCAGUAAGCUUAAUACACGGGAGACUAAUUCAAGAGAGUAGAGGCCUGAUCAGUUUGACUCCAACUUAUAAAGUGAAGAAGGAGCCCUGCUCUUCUGGGUUAGGGUUCUCUGCUCUUCUGGGUUAGGGUUAGGGUUCUCUGCUCUUCUGGGUUAGGGUUCUCUGCUCUUCUGGGUUAGGGUUAGGGUUCUCUGCUCUUCUGGGUUAGGGCUCUUCUGGGGGUUCUUCUCUGCUCUUCUGGGUUAGGGUUAGGGUUCUCUGCUCUUCUGGGUUAGGGUUCUCUGCUCUUCUGGGUUAGGGUUAGGGUUCUCUGCUCUUCUGGGUUAGGGUUCUCUGCUCUUCUGGGUUAGGGUUAGAGUUCUCUGCUCUUCUGGGUUAGGGUUAGGGUUCUCUGCUCUUCUGGGUUAGGGUUAGGGUUCUCUGCUCUUCUGGGUUCUCUUCACAUCAGGAGGUCGGCAGAGGACCCGGAUGGGACGGUCCAGCCCGGAGCUGUUUAUAGGCCCCACAGGUCCUCAGGUUCCCAUCACUCUACCGUCUCCGUCGCUACGACGACGUUCCUCUGUGUUCCCAGUGGACCUUCCUCUUUAGGGGAGCCGUGAUACCAGGGGAUCUUAAAUGUUCUCUCGGGACCCAAAAAUACUAUUCCAGUGUUACCCAGGAAAACUGUGAGCACACUGGGAAGGCUGAUCCUCUCCCGCUCCAAGAUCUCCGAGGGUUAGGUGCUGGGAUUGGUUCAUGACCCACCUCCAAUGGGUCGUGUGGGACCCCAGUGGGUCAACACAGUCUACGGUCUGGGCUGAACCCAGUGGGUCAGUCUAGGGUCUGGGCUGAACCCAGUGAGUCAACACAGUCUACGGUCUGGGCUGAACCCAGUGGGUCAGUCUACGGUCUGGGCCGACCCAGUGGGUCAGUCUACGGUCUGGGCUGAACCCAGUGGGUCAGUCUACGGUCUGGGCUGAACCCAGUGGGUCAGUCUACGGUCUGGGCUGAACCCAGUGGGUCAACACAGUCUACGGUCUGGGCUGAACCCAGUGGGUCUGAACCCAGUGGGUCAGUCUAGGGUCUGGGCUGAACCCAGUGGGUCAGUCUACGGUCUGGGCUGAACCCAGUGGGUCAGUCUAGGGUCUGGGCUGAACCCAGUGGGUCAGUCUACGGUCUGGGCUGAACCCAGUGGGUCAACCCAGUGGGUCAACACAGUCUACGAUCUGGGCUGAACCCAGUGGGUCGGUCUACGGUCUGGGCUGAACCCAGUGGGUCAGUAUACGGUCUGGGCUGAACCCAGUGGGUCAACACAGUCUACGAUCUGGGCUGAACCCAGUGGGUCAGUCUACGGUCUGGGCUGAACCCAGUGGGUCAGUCUACGGUCUGGGCUGAACCCAGUGGGUCAACACAGUCUACGGUCUGGGCUGAACCCAGUGGCACAGUUUACGGUCUGGGCUGAACCCAGUGGGUCAGUCUACGGUCUGGGCUGAACCCAGUGGGUCAACACAGUCUACGGUCUGGGCUGAACCCAGUGGGUCAGUCUACGGUCUGGGCUGAACCCAGUGGGUCAGUCUACGGUCUGGGCUGAACCCAGUGGGUCAGUCUACGGUCUGGGCUGAACCCAGUGGGUCAGUUUACGGUCUGGGCUGAACCCAGUGGGUCAACACAUCUCUCUUGCAGCGAGUUCUUCCAUCUCUAGGAUGUCAGGUGUACUCCUCUGUGUAUCAACGGUGUUUUAGUCACUGGACUCUAAUAGUUUGGUCUUUGAUGCGUUCGCCCUACCUUAUUUAAUCCCUCCAAAGUGGCUGACAGUUUGACUGUCAUGAAUACUACUUCCCAAUAAUGUAUUUUGAGCAAUAAUCAAGACAAUGUAAUAUUUAAAUUAUUUCCUUGACAAUAUUGACAUGCUGACCACAUAAAUUAAACUUUUAUUUGCACUUACUUUGACAAUGGAGGACUGUAACCUUUUCAUCAGAUAACUUUUUCUAGCCAGACUUGCGUCUACUAAUAUAAUUCCUUUUUUUCAACGGUUUGACAACAUUUCUGAUGUUGUAUCAAAAGUGAUUAGAGUAAUAACUACCUUACUAACUAGAUUGCUAAAGUGAUAAGCGAAAAUAUCUUUCAUGUAAAGUGACUGCACCUCUCUCUUCAUUUUUAGGGGCAGUUCCAAGUUCUUCCGAUGCCAGUUCUCGUUAAUUUGGGGACUUCAGCAUCUUAAACAGUGACAUGCCUUUUUAACGCCAGUGGCUUUUAAAAUGCUCCCUUGAAAGCAAAUUUAUCACGAUAGUGUUCUGCAGUGGCUAUAAGACAGGUCCAAUUGAAAUUCAAGAUUUAUAUUUCUUCUGGGUGUAAAAGCUUUUGGACUUUUUAAAUAUCAAAUCGAAAGGUUUAUACAUUUGUGGAAUUCUCAUUGCACUGUGAAUGAAAACCCACUAACCCUACCCACUAACUCUUAGAGAGGUUCAUGUUAUUACUAUAACAAUAACCUAACUUAACCUUAACUUAAAACAUUGAUCAUUGGGUACCCUUAUCCUUCUAUAAAUGGAUGUCAACUGUGGUCAUUGAGGUGUACUUGUGUACAUCAGCAUUGUAUCAACUUUAGGUGGUACAUGUUGGAAUAAAUAAUACCUAUCGUAUGUAGCUCAGCAGCGUUCCCUGGUGCCUGCGGACUGCGGCGGUGGGCGGAGAUGGCACCGAGCCACGGAGCCGUCUCUCCUUUAAUGGCAUCGCUCCCCGGUCGGGACACAGCCUAAGUUAUUCCUUCUUCACGAGGAAUGUUUUAUCCGGAGCGCUCCUAUAAACUGCCGUCUUGUUAGGUUCUGUUGAGUUGCGCAUUACAAUACGGUGGUCCUGUUGAGGCAUCUGAGAACAGCAGUACUGGGGCGGAAAUGUAUUCCUCCAUCCAGAUAAUUGACCCUUAACAGAAGAGCUGGGAUUUUUAUUUUUUAUUUUUAAUAAUGUGCUCGGCUUGAGAAACGAAGGGGUCUAGGGUUUUGAUUGCCUUAUCCACCUAAAACAACAUGUUCUCCUUACUCUAUUGGAUUCUGGGGAGCGUUAAAUAAUGAUCCAGCAGCUGAGACUGCUGCAUGCAGAACGUCUCCCUGACGGCCCUGCUGGGAUCUGAUGUUACAGAGAGCUCACCAGCUCUCCUGCAUUUGUACAGAUGAUUCGUUUAAAAAAACGAGAAAUCUUUAUCUUCAGGGGCUUGCAUUGUUUUUCAGAGUUUAUUUAUAUAAACCUUUUUGGUUUGCAUUUUCUUUUCUAUUUUUUGUUCCUGUGGUUUGUAACUGUCAGCACUGUAGUGUACAUAAUAUUUUUUGUAAACAGGAAAAACUUAGUAAUGUGAUUUAUACUUUAAAUAUAUGAGCCUAGUUAAUAAAAGGUUCCAAUAUGGCUGCGUGUGUGUGCAUGUGUGUGUGUGUGUGUGGGGGGGGGGGUAUUGUAUAAGACUCUUAACCUCAAUGUCUUCCUGCCUCAUGUUGUGGUAUAACUUACUGAUAAUACAACCCAGUGGACUGUAGCAAACGUUGCUCCUCUAUCCGUCACACAUCUAGGUGGACACGCCCACCUGUGAGGUCAGAAGCUGCACAUUUUCAAAACGGCUUGCAAUGGCAAAUCACACUCACAUCUGGUGGUAUAAUAUGUAGCCUUUAAUAUCCCAAAUUCCUAAUUAGCG